rnacentral:lncRNA from 1 species
CAACACUUUGUUCUAUUUUGCCUCAAUUACGUAUAAAAAACAACUAACAAAAUAAAAUCCACAACGCAGGAGGGUGAGGCACCCCCCGCGAUGCGGGGACUAAGAGCCACCCCCUCUCCCCCCCGGCUCUUAGGAGCCAUGGUGGACUCACUGCCUGUUUACGAUGUUGUGAGUAAUAUCAUCUCUCCCUCUGGAAAUUAUGAACUAUUUCACAGACGGGUGUACACCCUCGUUGUACAGAGGGUGUACACCCGUCUGUAUUGAGAGCAAUAUCAUCCUCUUCCUCCCUGAAUAUUAAGAACAGUAUCACAGGAGUGGUUCUACUCCCUGCGAUAUUGUGUGUCAUAUCCUGCUCUCCCACGUUGAAAUUAGAAACAAUAUCACGGGGGGCGUGUACACCUUCUGUGAUAUUUAAAGUAAUAUCAUCCUCUUCCCUCCAGGAUCAUGAGAACAAUAUCCCAUGGGGGGUACACUUUCUGCGAUAUUGGGAGUAAUAUCAACCUCUCGGCCUUUGAAUAUUAAGAACAAUAUCACAGGGUGGAUGUACACCCCCUGCCAUAUUGGGAGUAAUAUCAGCCUCUCCCCUCCAUGGAGAUUAGGAACAAUAACCCACGGUGGGUGUACACCUCCUGCUCUAUGGGGAGUAAUAUCAUCCUCUCCCUUCCAGGAUAUUAAUAACAAUAUCACAGGGUGGGUGAACACAGCCUGCGAUACUGGAAUUAUUAUCAUCCUCUCCCCCUCCGGAUACUAGGAACAAUAUCACAGAAGAGGUGUACACUCCCUGCGAUAUUGGGAAUAAUAGCAUACGCUUCUUCCGUGAAUAUUAGGAGCAGUAUCACCGGGUGGCUGUACAUUCAUUGCUAUGUUGGGAGUCAUGUCAUACUCUACCCCCUGGAUAUUAGGAUCAAUGUCACAGGGUGAAUGCACACCUACUACGAUAUUAAAACUAAAAAUCAUGCUCUCCGUCCCUGGAUAUUAGGAACAAUAUCACAGGUAGGUGUACACCCCAUGUGGUAUUAGGAGUAAUAAUAGUAUCAAUUAUUAAACACCAGUUAUCAAUUUUAGUAAU